UACGAAGGGGGCUAGCGUUGUUCGGAAUUACUGGGCGUAAAGCGCACGUAGGCGGAUAUUUAAGUCAGGGGUGAAAUCCCGGGGCUCAACCCCGGAACUGCCUUUGAUACUGGGUAUCUCGAGUCCGAGAGAGGUGAGUGGAAUUCCGAGUGUAGAGGUGAAAUUCGUAGAUAUUCGGAAGAACACCAGUGGCGAAGGCGACACACUGGCCCAUUACUGACGCUGAGGCUCGAAAGCGUGGGGAGCAAACAGG
rnacentral:rRNA from 1 species